GAUGAACGCUGGCGGCGUGCCUAAUACAUGCAAGUCGAGCGAACGGACGAGAAGCUUGCUUCUCUGAUGUUAGCGGCGGACGGGUGAGUAACACGUGGAUAACCUACCUAUAAGACUGGGAUAACUUCGGGAAACCGUAGCUAAUACCGGAUAAUAUUUUGAACCGCAUGGUUCAAAAGUGAAAGACGGUCUUGCUGUCACUUAUAGAUGGAUCCGCGCUGCAUUAGCUAGUUGGUAAGGUAACGGCUUACCAAGGCAACGAUGCAUAGCCGACCUGAGAGGGUGAUCGGCCACACUAGAACUGAGACACGGUCCAGACUCCUACGGGAGGCAGCAGUAGGGAAUCUUCCGCAAUGGGCGAAAGCCUGACGGAGCAACGCCGCGUGAGUGAUGAAGGUCUUCGGAUCGUAAAACUCUGUUAUUAGGGAAGAACAUAUGUGUAAGUAACUGUGCACAUCUUGACGGUACCUAAUCAGAAAGCCACGGCCAACUACGUG
rnacentral:rRNA from 1 species